rnacentral:rRNA from 1 species
GAUGAACGCUGGCGGCGUGCUUAACACAUGCAAGUCGAACGGAAAGGCCCUGCUUUUGUGGGGUGCUCGUGUGGCGAACGGGUGAGUAACAAGUGAGUGACCUGCCUUUGACUUUGGGAUACCUUCAGGAAAGUGGGGCUAAUACCGGCUAGGUGCUCCUGCUGCAUGGUGGGGGUUGGAAAGUUUCGGCGGUUGGCGAUGGACUCGCGGUUUAUCAGCUUGUUGGUGGAGUAGUGGCUUACCAAGGCUUUGGCGGGUAGCCGGCCUGUGGGGGUGACCGGGCACAAGAGUACUGAGAUACGCCCCAGUCUCCAACGGGAGGCAGCAGUGGAGAAUAUGACACAAUAAGCGGAAGCGUGAGGCAACAACGCUGCGUGCGUAAAGACGUCCUGCAGGGUGUAAACCGCUUUCGCCUGAGACGAAGCGUGGGUGACGGUAAUGGGUAAAGAAGCACCGGCUAACUACGUG